GUAGGUGGCAAGCGUUGUCCGGAAUUAUUGGGCGUAAAGCGCGCGCAGGCGGUUCUUUAAGUCUGAUGUGAAAGCCCACGGCUCAACCGUGGAGGGUCAUUGGAAACUGGAGAACUUGAGUACAGAAGAGGAAAGCGGAAUUCCACGUGUAGCGGUGAAAUGCGUAGAGAUGUGGAGGAACACCAGUGGCUAAGGCGGCUUUCUGGUCUGUAACUGACGCUGAGGCGCGAAAGCGUGGGGAGCAAACAGGAUUAGAUACCCUGGUAGUCCACGCCGUAAACGAUGAGUGCUAAGUGUUAGGGGGGUUUCCGCCCCCCUUAGUGCUGCAGCUAACGCAUUAAGCACUCCGCCUGGGAGUAUGGCCGCAAGGCUG
rnacentral:rRNA from 1 species